GGGCCGUUAGCUCAGGCUGGUAGAGCACCUGAUUUUUAAUCAGGUGGCCGCAGGUUCGAGUCCUGCACGGCCCA
rnacentral:tRNA from 1 species